UCGGGCCUCUCGCGUCAGGAUAUGCCUAGGUGGGAUUAGCUAGUUGGUGAGGUAAUGGCUCACCAAGGCGACGAUCCCUAGCUGGUCUGAGAGGAUGAUCAGCCACACUGGAACUGAGACACGGUCCAGACUCCUACGGGAGGCAGCAGUGGGGAAUAUUGCACAAUGGGCGCAAGCCUGAUGCAGCCAUGCCGCGUGUGUGAAGAAGGCCUUCGGGUUGUAAAGCACUUUCAGUCGUGAGGAAGGUAGUGUAGUUAAUAGCUGCAUUAUUUGACGUUAGCGACAGAAGAAGCACCGGCUAACUCCGUGCCAGCAGCCGCGGUAAUACGGAGGGUGCGAGCGUUAAUCGGAAUUACUGGGCGUAAAGCGCAUGCAGGUGGUUUGUUAAGUCAGAUGUGAAAGCCCGGGGCUCAACCUCGGAAUAGCAUUUGAAACUGGCAGACUAGAGUACUGUAGAGGGGGGUAGAAUUUCAGGUGUAGCGGUGAAAUGCGUAGAGAUCUGAAGGAAUACCGGUGGCGAAGGCGGCCCCCUGGACAGAUACUGACACUCAGAUGCGAAAGCGUGGGGAGCAAACAGGAUUAGAUACCCUGGUAGUCCACGCCGUAAACGAUGUCUACUUGGAGGUUGUGGCCUUGAGCCGUGGCUUUCGGAGCUAACGCGUUAAGUAGACCGCCUGGGGAGUACGGUCGCAAGAUUAAAACUCAAAUGAAUUGACGGGGGCCCGCACAAGCGGUGGAGCAUGUGGUUUAAUUCGAUGCAACGCGAAGAACCUUACCUAC
rnacentral:rRNA from 1 species